rnacentral:lncRNA from 1 species
AUUUGAUGGCGACAAUGUCUGGUAAAGAGACAUCAGAUGAUCAUUCUACUUUGGAACCUCCACUUAGUUUUGUAAGUUACUACAGUUCUGGAGAGAUAAGAUCGAUGAUAAGAGGCUGCAACCUGUAGUCACAGCAAACCUGCUAGUGAGGGUCAAUAACUCUGGUUCCUUGGACGAGAAAACGAGAAGAGUGAAGUGUAUGAGAAUAAUAGUUCUGGAGCAAAGCAUCAUCAACUACUCGAUUUCAGCCCAGAACAUAGUGGCUGCUGGGUGAUAAANN